UGACACUUGUUUAAGCCAAUU
rnacentral:piRNA from 1 species